AUAGCGUAUAUUAAAGUUGUUGCAGUUAAAAAGCUCGUAGUUGAACUUUGGGUUUGGCUGGGCGGUCUCCCAAUGGGUUGCACUGUUCCGGCUGAAUCUUUCCCUCUGGCGAACCAUUGUGCUAUUCAUUUAGUGCGCUGGGGAACCAGGACUUUUACUUUGAAAAAAUUAGAGUGUUUAAAGCAGGCUUACGCUUGAAUUCAUUAGCAUGGAAUAAUAAAAUAGGACUUUGGUUUUAUUUUGUUGGUUUCUAAGACCGAAGUAAUGAUUAAUAGGGAUAGUUGGGGGCAUUAGUAUUUAGCCGUCAGAGGUGAAAUUCUUGGAUUGGCUAAAGACUAACUUCUG
rnacentral:rRNA from 1 species